AGCGAACGCUGGCGGCAGGCCUAACACAUGCAAGUCGAACGAACCCUUCGGGGUUAGUGGCGGACGGGUGAGUAACACGUGGGAACGUGCCUUUAGGUUCGGAAUAACUCAGGGAAACUUGUGCUAAUACCGAAUGUGCCCUUCGGGGGAAAGAUUUAUCGCCUUUAGAGCGGCCCGCGUCUGGUUAGCUAGUUGGUGAGGUAAUAGCUCACCAAGGCUACGAUCAGUAGCUGGUCUGAGAGGAUGACCAGCCACAUUGGGACUGAGACACGGCCCAAACUCCUACGGGAGGCAGCAGUGGGGAAUCUUGCGCAAUGGGCGAAAGCCUGACGCAGCCAUGCCGCGUGGAUGAUGAAGGUCUUAGGAUUGUAAAAUCCUUUCACCGGUGAAGAUAAUGACUGUAGCCGGAGAAGAAGCCCCGGCUAACUUCGUGCCAGCAGCCGCCGUAAGAC
rnacentral:rRNA from 1 species